GACGAACGCUGGCGGCGUGCUUAACACAUGCAAGUCGAACGGAAAGGCCCUGCUUUUGUGGGGUGCUCGAGUGGCGAACGGGUGAGUAACACGUGAGUAACCUGCCCUUGACUUUGGGAUAACUUCAGGAAACUGGGGCUAAUACCGGAUAGGAGCUCCUGCUGCAUGGUGGGGGUUGGAAAGUUUCGGCGGUUGGGGAUGGACUCGCGGCUUAUCAGCUUGUUGGUGGGGUAGUGGCUUACCAAGGCUUUGACGGGUAGCCGGCCUGAGAGGGUGACCGGGCACAAUGGGACUGAGAAACGGGCCAGACUCCUACGGGAGGCAGCAGUGGGGAAUAUUGCACAAUGGGCGGAAGCCUGAUGCAGCAACGCCGCGUGCGGGAUGACGGCCUUCGGGUUGUAAACCGCUUUCGCCUGUGACGAAGCGUGAGUGACGGUAAUGGGUAAAGAAGCACCGGCUAACUACGUG
rnacentral:rRNA from 1 species